rnacentral:rRNA from 1 species
CGAUCAGUAGCCGACCUGAGAGGGUGAUCGGCCACAUUGGAACUGAGACACGGUCCAAACUCCUACGGGAGGCAGCAGUGGGGAAUAUUGCACAAUGGGCGAAAGCCUGAUGCAGCAACGCCGCGUGAGUGAUGAAGGCCUUCGGGUCGUAAAACUCUGUCCUCAAGGAAGAUAAUGACGGUACUUGAGGAGGAAGCCCCGGCUAACUACGUGCCAGCAGCCGCGGUAAUACGUAGGGGGCUAGCGUUAUCCGGAUUUACUGGGCGUAAAGGGUGCGUAGGCGGUCUUUCAAGUCAGGAGUGAAAGGCUACGGCUCAACCGUAGUAAGCUCUUGAAACUGGGAGACUUGAGUGCAGGAGAGGAGAGUGGAAUUCCUAGUGUAGCGGUGAAAUGCGUAGAUAUUAGGAGGAACACCAGUUGCGAAGGCGGCUCUCUGGACUGU